rnacentral:lncRNA from 1 species
ACCUUUUCUGAAACCCCAGACAAAUGAAAGUUCUAACAUUAAACUAGCCCAGUUCACUUGCUGUAAAGAACAUCAUGAAAUUUGAGACAUGCAAACAAGAAAUAGAAAAGAAAAGAAAAUUAAGAAAAAUGAAUAAAUAAAAAAAGAGUAACAAAGCAGAUUGAUCAAUGAUCAUGACAUGCAGAACAAGUAUCUGACAUAUAAGAUCAAAUAUAUAAGAUCAAAGAAGAAGAAAGUAGAUACCUAAGAUUUUCCCAAACUGUACUGUAAGAAAUGUCUUAGUGUGCAGUUGUAGGGACUGAGAUGAAAACGCUAAAGAAAGAGUAAAGCUACUGCCCAGGAUGCAAACAAUGUCUUAAUCUCUGUUCUAGGGAGCUUCAACUGCCG